rnacentral:rRNA from 1 species
UGGGGAAUAUUGCACAAUGGGCGCAAGCCUGAUGCAGCCAUGCNGCGUGUAUGAAGAAGGCCUUCGGGUUGUAAAGUACUUUCAGCGGGGAGGAAGGGAGUAAAGUUAAUACCUUUGCUCAUUGACGUUACCCGCAGAAGAAGCACCGGCUAACUCCGUGCCAGCAGCCGCGGUAAUACGGAGGGNGCAAGCGUUAAUCGGAAUUACUGGGCGUAAAGCGCACGCNGGNGGUUUGUUAAGUCAGAUGUGAAAUCCCCGGGCUCAACCUGGGAACUGCAUCUGAUACUGGCAAGCUUGAGUCUCGUAGAGGGGGGUANAAUUCCNGGUGUAGCGGUNAAAUGCGUAGAGAUCUGGAGNAAUACCGGUGGCGAAGGNGGCCCCCUGGACGAAGACUGACGCUCAGGUGCGAAAGCNNGGGGGNGCAAACAGGAUUAGANACCCUGNNAGNCCACNCCGU